AUAAAUAAUAAAGACAGCUAAUGUUCUAUGAGGCAGAUAAUGUGUAUGAAACAUAUGGAAUUCCAGAUAAGGAUAGAGACAUAGUAACCUUAGCGGGAAUGAGGGAAAAUCAUAAAGAGCGGAUUAACUCAGCAUUGUACCAGACACUUUCUAGGUACAUCGAGCGGACAAACAGGUUCAGUCAAUCAUUCUCUUGCUGAUAUCAUGCACGAGUAAGCACCCUGGGAAUAAAACCACGUGAAACCAGAUCACAAGCACCUUGAACCGGAAGCAGAAUGAACCGGAAGUAUACAGCACCUUGAGUCUACGUCUAGCGCAACACAGUAGACGGAACCAGCCUCACGGAAAACAGGGAUAUCAAAUAAUUUGUCAGUUUGUACCGUAUCGAUAAGUCGCUAUUCCUGACAUGGGAAUGCUUACAAGCUGAUAUUGUGUCUGCCAACCUGCGGUGCGGCCGAUUUUCUCUGGUAGCUUCAAAUUGACAGCGAUAAUCCCGGGGCUGCCGACAAACAACACAAGUGCCAGCGCAAGGUCACCAAAAAUUCCCCGCACCAAAGCUGCUUGGAGUGGCCAGACGUUGUGUGGCAAGUGGUUCGACGAGGGCGGUGAAUUCUAAAGCACACCUUAGAGAUGGGAGUGGGAAGGCAUCACGCCUUCGUCAGUUGACCCCCAUCAACCACUGCAGACAGCCUUGAUGACUUGGACUACAGUGAUGAAGACACUGCAAGAGUGUCUUGGUAUCUCCUUUCCCGUGUUGAGCCGCGCAGUUUAAUGGUGGCUGCCUCCAAUUCUUCAUCAUCAUCACUGUCUUCACUCUCUACUGGAGAUGGAUGGGAAGUGGCUGAUGCAGGAGUGAGGGAGCCACUAGCUGGGCAGCAAUAUGGACAGUCUCCAUAAUCCAGCACCGGCAUGUUCUCAGGAGUAUGGAUGCCAGACUGACCAAGAGUUGGCACAGUCAGUGGGACUUUUGUGAUGUGCUCCCAUUCCCAUAUGCAUAUUGCAGUUGUUACGGCACUGCAGGAGAACUUCCGUGUUUGAUAUCUUAACUUCUGGACAUGCUAUAUGGCUAUCCUUUUCAAAUAGUGUAUUUGGUAUAUCUUAUAAGUAAUUGGUGAAGUGUUGAUCCCCUAGUGGCUUCUUUUGGAACUACAGGGGCCAAUUUAGUGUUGAUAGCUUACAUUAUAUAUGUUAUAUCAGGAAAAUGUGACUUGCUCAAUAUUACU